AGUGAACGCUGGCGGUAGGCCUAACACAUGCAAGUCUAACGGCAGCACAGUAAGAGCUUGCUCUUACGGGUGGUGAGUGGCGGACGGGUGAGGAAUACAUCGGAAUCUACUUUUUCGUGGGGGAUAACGUAGGGAAACUUACGCUAAUACCGCAUACGACCUACGGGUGAAAGCAGGGGAUCUUCGGACCUUGCGCGAUUGAAUGAGCCGAUGUCGGAUUAGCUAGUUGGCGGGGUAAAGGCCCACCAAGGCGACGAUCCGUAGCUGGUCUGAGAGGAUGAUCAGCCACACUGGAACUGAGACACGGUCCAGACUCCUACGGGAGGCAGCAGUGGGGAAUAUUGGACAAUGGGCGCAAGCCUGAUCCAGCCAUACCGCGUGGGUGAAGAAGGCCUUCGGGUUGUAAAGCCCUUUUGUUGGGAAAGAAAAGCAGCAGGUUAAUACCCCACUGUUCUGACGGUACCCAAAGAAUAAGCACCGGCUAACUUCGUG
rnacentral:rRNA from 1 species